GUUUGUGGCGACACUAGCUAGAGGGAGAGAGGCAACGAUAGCACCGAUAGCUGUUGUCAGGUCGCACAGUGCUCAGGGCCUCAUGUGGUGCCUGGUGUCAAGUGCUGUGUGUGUGUGUGCGGCAGUGGGCAACAAUAGGCAAUACGUGUGGCAAAAAUGUUUUUAUACCGAAAAGGGCAGGGGAUUAGGUUUUAGAAAUCGGUAAAAACUGCAACCAAGAGAUUUCCUGUAAGCGAUAGAAAUGUUGCUUAUUGAGAAACUUCACUGCAGGCCAAAGCUGGCAGUUUAUUCUCGUAGCUGGUACAUG
rnacentral:lncRNA from 1 species